CUGCAAUCCAGGGCUUCAUUUUCCAGACAUGUAAUUAGUAUCACAGAAUUGUCUUUCAGGAGCUUAGAAUUCCUAUGACCUUAUUGGAGCAGGGGGUGGGAAACUACAAGGAAACUGACAUGAAGAUACAUAAUAACAGGAAGUAGGAGUAGCAAAAGGAAAAGGAGGAGGAGAAAGAGAAGGAAAGUAAAAGGAAACAGGCCAAUAUCCCCAGCUGCCCCCAACCCCUGCCCACCCUGGGAACACUCAUUUCACGGUCUCUGCUGUUUCUGCCCUCUGCUCCAGCAUCAACCCCCAGCUCCGUAUCUGUUGAAAAAUCAGAAGAUUCAGCAAUACUAGGCGCACCACCCCUGAUGAAAAAAUCCUCCUGGAUCCAGGAUGAAGCAAACUGCUUCACGAGAAGCCCUAGAGAAGAACACACAGAAUCUAAUAUAUAAUGAUCUGUCAGUGCCUCCCAUCACCCCAGAUGAGGAUGUGUAGUUGCAGGAGAACAAGCUCAGAGCUCCCACUGAUUCUACAUUAUGGUGAGUUGUAUAAUUAUUUA
rnacentral:lncRNA from 13 species